rnacentral:lncRNA from 1 species
GGCUUAAGCUACAGGGAAGCAUUGUUGGAGUGCAUAGAUUGUUGCUUUAAACCUGGCUUGUUAGUAUUAUCUGAAGACAACAUAGACUACGAAUUAAAGUUGCUCUUUUGUGGAACAAUCUGUAAAAUUUAAUCAAUUUAAUUAUAAAGCUCUAAAGGAGACUGGGAAAAUUAUCACUUCAGAAACUUGAAUUACCAAAAAAAAAUUUGUUUUAUAUUGAAUAAUGUAUUUUAAAACACAAUACUCAAAACAGUUCAUUUGUAAAAUUAGAAGAUACAUGAUUUUUUUCAUUUGGUUAAUUAAAUUUUACAGAUUUUUAUCACAAAGGUAUUUUUGAGAUAAGUCUUAAUAAACCUUUUAAAUUGCAUUCUUCUAAUAUUAGUAGAUCUUUAAGUAGUAAGAAAAUUAAGAUAUACUGUUCUGGUCCUCGCCGUCUGCGGAGAGACAGGAAUGACACAGACACCAAGGCGGGUUCAUGCAACAGCUUCCUUACUUCGGGCUUUUUCCCCUACAGCUCUCUUCAUCAGCAGCUUCUUCUUCCUCCAGCCUUCUUGCAGCUUUCUCUCUUACAACUACUCCCCUCACGAUAGCUUCUCUUACUACAACUAGCUUCUACUUAGGGCAAGGGCUAAAAACCUAUACUCGUGGCGCCUGACCUCAUCUAUCUUCACCCUACCUCAUCCAAUCAGAAUUCACACACGUUCCAGGCAGGAGCUCAGGUCGGUCACUGAUAGGCUGACAGGUCCAGAUCAUGAGGGAUAGUCUAGCCCAGCAGGCAGCCCACGCAUGCAGCCUCACUGUGCAUGCUCGGGCAAGGCAGUAAACAUCUUGGCCCAUGUGGCCACACCUGCUUCCCGCAUCUCCCCUUUUUGUUUUAUUAGCAGUUCUGGGAUCAGCAUCUGUCUUAGGUUGCCCCCAUCUGUGCCACAUCCUUACCCAUCAUGGGAGUGACAAACUCACUUUCGCCAUCCUGUCUUAGGUUGGUAUGCGCACAUGAGGGUCUUACCUGUCAUUGAUUACUGAUCCAGCAUGUUGAGCCAACAUUGGGGGGAUGUUUCUGCUUCCAAGGCUGCCAUAGCCUGCACUAAGGCUCGUUUAUCAGCCCUGUGCUGCCUUCGCAUACGUGCCAUCCACCAAAGCAUUCCUCCACACACAACAGUCAGCAGGAGCGAUCAAAAGGCCAUCCCUCCCCAAUUUUUUAAGAAUCCCACAGUUCCCUGGAUGAUCUCCACCCAUUGCUUUGCAGUUGCAAUCUCUACAUGGGUGUUGUUCAUGGCAACAAUCGAUGCUCACAAUUCCUUCAUCUUUGUGUCGAGAUCAUGACUCUAAUUUCCUAGCAGCAUUGCACCAAUUGCACGUGACAGAUUUACAGCUCUGGAAAAAUUCUGAUACUGAACAGAGGUUACACACAUUCCUGACAUAGAGUAAUGCAGGAAGCAAAUACUAACUGCUCCAAAAUAUUCAUCUGUUCUGCAACCAAUCCACUCUUUGGUUAACCAUAAGGAUACCAGCUUUCAAAUUUGUAUUCCAGUGGAGCCAAAGCCCCGGUUUCCUCUUUUCAGUCCCCUUGAAGGGAAGCUAGCAUGGUGACUAGGCAAAAGCAAAAUUUGAGCAAUUCUAUCUCCGGGGGAAAUGGCAGACACCCCUCUGGGGGAGGAAACCAUGAUCUUAUUUUUGUGAACACCUUAUUACUUUCAAAACACAGAAGUACAUAAAGAAAAACCUUUUAUUCAAACUUGGCUAUAUUCUGUUCUAUACCCCCAUACCACACUGCCUUCUGUUCUCUGUCUGUUCACUAAGUGUCUUUUCCAUAUCUUUUUAAUGCUUACUGAAAUACAGAUUUUAUAGACAUAAAUUUGUAACAUAUUUACAUAGAGCAUACAUAUGCAUACUUAAGAACUUUAAGUGUUUUUAUCUUACACAAAACAAUGGUCCCUUUCAUAUUGUUGUUUUCCUUCUAAUACUAUUGACUAGUCCUCCCAUCCACUAUCUAAGACCAUCUUUUCUCUUUUUCUUUCAUUUAAAGCAUUCUCCUGUAAUGGCUCAAGUUUCUACUACUGAGUCUUCAGGAGCUUUCCUGCAGGUUGCAAUGUUUUAUCUUUGAGGAAAUUGCUCAAAAAGUACCUAACCUUAACUCUUACUGACUUUAUCAGAGUUUAAACAUGUGUUCGAGAUUUUAUAAAGGCAGCCUGGACCCCAUAAGUCAAAACUGACUCCUUCAAUCUUGGUAGAACCUUCCACUCCAGGGAUUCAUGAUACCGUUGCCCCUGUUGGUCCUGAAAUACUGGGAAGGCCCCUGCAAUGGCGGGCACAUUUUUCCAGACUUUUGCAUGAAGACUAUGCUUUUCCCUUUUGUCUCCCUCAUCUUUAUAGGGGGGAGGAGAAGGUAAUGGAGGGGCUGAUGGAUCGGGUGGUCUACCGCGCCUCAACCUUCAGCAGAACAUCCGACUACAGACGUCACUGUCACUAUCAGUCCCUUCGCUGUCACUAGCAGACCCUUCAGAGCUAGAUUCUUUCUUCUCUUUCUUAUCUUUGGUUUGUUGUCUAAGCUGUUUAGGUUUUCGGUGGCUAGCCUAAGAAGCAAUUUCCUUAGCCUCCUCAAGCGCUGCCGCUCCUUCCUCUAUUCCAGCAUUGUACUUUCCACUGGCAUCCCUCAAGCACGUCCUGACCAAGUUCCAGAUGGCUAACAUUUUUACUUUCAUUUUAGUUGCAGUUGAACCCAUAUCAUUUAAAUUCCCUCCGUCUCUAUUCCUGAGAACCUUAGUGCUUCGUCCUUUUUUUUCCCCAAGAACCUUACUGAUUUUCUCCUUCAUGAAGAGAGACAAUCACUUCAAACCUCUCC